rnacentral:rRNA from 1 species
AGCAGCCGCGGUAAUUCCAGCUCCAAUAGCGUAUAUUAAAGUUGUUGCAGUUAAAAAGCUCGUAGUUGAAUUUUGGGUCUGGCCGGGCGGUCCGCCCUCUGGGUGAGCACUGUUCCGACGUCGGGCCUAUCCUUCUGGUGAGUCGGCAUGUCCUUUAUUGGGUGUGUCGGGGAACCAGGACCAUUACCUUGAAAAAUUAGAGUGUUCAAAGCAGGCGUAUGCUCGGAUACAUUAGCAUGGAAUAAUGAAAUAGGACGCGUGGUGCUAUUUUGUUGGUUUCUAGAACCGCCGUAAUGAUUAAUAGGGAUAGUUGGGGGCAUUAGUAUUCAAUUGUCAGAGGUGAAAUUCUUGGAUUUAUUGAAGACUAACUUCUGCGAAAGCAUUUGCCAAGGAUGUUUUCAUUAAUCAAGAACGAAAGUUAGGGGAUCGAAGACGAUCAGAUACCGUCGUAGUCUUAACCAUAAACUAUG